rnacentral:rRNA from 1 species
CCGGCGACCGGCGCACGGGUGAGUAACACGUAUGCAACCUGGCCGUCACAGGUGGAUAACCGGAAGAAAUUCCGACUAAUACAGCAUAACACUCCUGAGGGACAUCCUUCGGGAGUCAAAGGAGGCAACUCCGGUGACGGAUGGGCAUGCGGCGCAUUAGGUAGUUGGUAGGGUAACGGCCUACCAAGCCGACGAUGCGUAGGGGUUCUGAGAGGAAGGUCCCCCACAUUGGAACUGAGACACGGUCCAAACUCCUACGGGAGGCAGCAG